rnacentral:rRNA from 1 species
GUGGGGAAUCUUGCGCAAUGGGCGAAAGCCUGACGCAGCGACGCCGCGUGAGUGAUGAAGGCCUUCGGGUUGUAAAGCUCUGUGGAGGGGGACGAAUAAGGGUUGGCUAAUAUCCAGCUCGAUGACGGUACCCCUUUAGCAAGCACCGGCUAACUCUGUGCCAGCAGCCGCGGUAAGACAGAGGGUGCAAACGUUGUUCGGAAUUACUGGGCGUAAAGCGCGUGUAGGCCGCUUGGAAAGUCGGAUGUGAAAGCCCUGGGCUCAACCUAGGAAGUGCAUUCGAAACUUCCAAGCUGGAGUGCUGGAGAGGAAAGCGGAAUUCUCGGUGUAGAGGUGAAAUUCGUAGAUAUCGAGAGGAACACCGGUGGCGAAGGCGGCUUUCUGGACAGUCACUGACGCUGAGACGCGAAAGCGUGGGGAGCAAACAGGAUUAGAAACCCCAGUAGUCC